rnacentral:tRNA from 1 species
UCUCUGGUGGCUUAGAUGGUAAAGCGUCUGCCUACAAUGCUGGAGACCCAGGUUCGAUCCCUGGGUUGGGAA